rnacentral:tRNA from 1 species
GACUCCGUAGCUCAGCUGGAUAGAGCAGCCGCCUUCUAAGCGGCAGGUCGUUGGUUCGAAUCCAACCGGAGUCGCCA